ensembl:lncRNA
CCCUCCUGGCUGAGAGACGACAGGAUGCUCGACUUCUCAGCUCUCCAUCCCUCACCCCUCUUUCUCUCUUUUCUCUGUCAGCCUCUUCCUUGCUGUCAGUGCUAACAUCCUCAUUUCUCUCACUCGUCUUUGACUUCUUCCUGGAAAGAAAGCCUUUGGUGUUGCCUUGGGGAGCCAACAGGUGUGCAUGGAUUAGUUCUCUAUGAGUGCAGUGCAGUCAGUGUUCUAAGGACAUUUCUCUCCUUUAUUCAGAAGAUGGAGAAGAAAUGUCACUGGAUCAAGGCGCAUCGGAUUUGCCAUUUUUCUUGCUUAUUGCUUAAUGUCGGAGUAUCACAAGCAGGAGACGAUACAGAGGAAGGCAAGUGAUGCAGGUGGAGGGGUGAUGUCAAACGUCAGCAUCAGCAACAUGAUGGGAUGACGACAAGGUGCCACUGAGCAACAACAUGGCUCCUUCCUGAUGAAUUCAUGGAUGCUGCACCUUUUGUAACUUUAACGGACGGACGCUUUGGAGAUUAAUUAGUGUGCAUGGUUUAAUCCUUCAACUUGGCUUAAUGGGGGUGAUGUGAAAAUGGCUGGAGCUCCAAAGUUGUCUGGAAAUCCACCUGGCGAACUGUCGGGACAAAAGCUCAAGAAAGUGCUGGUUUUGGUCUGAACACCUCCCAGUUGCCAGGGUUUAUGUAGCGACGAUCGACCUUAACCCCUUGUGAUCCUGCACACAAGAGUUCAGUAAAGGACACAUGGCAGCCCAAUGAGACAACAGGACAACAGAAGCAUUCAACAGCUGCAGGAUUUCUCAUUCUCGGAUGAAAAAUGGUGAGUAAUCUCAGAUUGCUUUGGGGAAAUUCUACUUGAAAAGACGACCUCUGUGGAAUUUCACUGAUUUACAACGGACAUGAAACCUUAAAAGAAGCUGCAUCUGAUGUGUCUCAUCCAUGUCCUGAUGAGUAGACACUAACGCUGACUGCAUGACUCAGGAACUGUGGGAACUGGUCCUCCUGAACUACAACCGCUUUCAUGCAUCCAAAACCACAGAAGGUAAAGUACUUAUUCUGCACACAAGUGGUGCUGAAGUCUCUUUUUGAAGACGGACAGCACAAACCACUGUAUCCUUCCUGCUGUUGUCAGGUGGCUGGAAGACCAGAAAGGCCUUCACAGCUUGGAGGACAAACCCCUCCUUCAGUUUCAACUGAAAUCUUACUGCGUGUUUCAUUUCUGCUACAUCAAACAUAUCGGAAUAAAUCCAAGAAUGCAGUGAAGUGCCACUUUGAUUAACAACUGGUGCUAAAGAAGUCAUAUGGCUGUGAAGAUAUUGAACUGUUAGCUGCAUCUAUGCUACGUACCCGUGGAAUUUUACGUUAUUCACCGACUGAGACUCUGGACUGCACUCUUUGCUUUAUUGUAUCGUAUUUCUUGCAUAAUAUGCAUCUUCCACAACAACUUCUUGCAUAAAGGUCACAGAUGACCAACUAGUAACAACCAAAAGAUUAGCUUUCCUGUUGAAAUAUCCAACAUGAACAUCUUGUCCUCCAACUUUGUGUGUUUAACGAAGCGCCAAACAAACUUUCAGACGAGGAGUGUCCAGCUGACAUCAUGAUGCAGCACAGAUGGCUAAUAAUCUGCAAAAAUCUGGGCCCUGUAAAGCCUCAGCAGGCCCCUUUUCCUUCUUAUACAUCCACUGUUGCACUUAGUUACUAAACAAGCCCAUGUAUCUGCUGUUGUUUGGACAAGUACCAGUGAAGUGCUCUUCUUCCUCGCCGUACUGUGAGAAACUGAUGAUGCAGUCAGAAAGAAAUCUUUAAGUUUUACGUUGGUUAGUUUUACUGUGCCUACCAACACCACAUUUUCCAUUAUCCGCAUUUCCACAAAAAAUCUUUAUUCUUAUCUUUAUUCUUUCUUUUAAUAUUAAUGAAAUAUUAAUGUCUAAAAAGAUGGACUAAAGAUUUUUUUUAAUUAUAAAAGAAGGAGGAAAUGUGAUUAGUUGGAUUUCAGCCCUUUCAAUCUGCGCUUUUGUAUUUCCCUAUUAUGUGUUUCUAAUUUAUUUUUCAGAAUAACCAGCACUACUUAAAAUGUUUUAUUUGAAGUACUUGGCUGCAGGUAAACUAAUCAAGUGCAACAACAGAGAUUUACUUAUUAAUUUGAACCACUGACAUAACUAUGACUCAUUAAAGCGUUGUCUUCACCAACCAAUAACACAGAAGUAGCUCUACAGAGUUUCAUUUUCAAAUACAGAGAAGACAACAUGAAAGAUGUCCAGAAGAAUUUCUGAUGAGAUCAAUUCAACCAGAACAACUAUUCCUCCACUAUGUGUAAAGCGUUUACACGUCUUCACUUAAUCCUGUUCAAAUGUGAACACUUCCAUGUGCCUCUGAAUAAUGUUUGUUGUUGUCUUUAUCAUUUUGGAGCCUCACUUUAAAAAAAAAAACACGUAAACAACCAUCCUCAAACAUGCCAUGGUUUCUUGACACUGCAUCUCCAGUGCUUCCAUGAUUAUGUUUAUACCCACUGGUGGUCAAAACCCUGAAAUUGCUUCACUGGAUUUUGCUUAUUUGGAGCCAUUUGAGGGGCAGUAACUCAGCAUGGCAAAAACCAUCACACGGGAAUCAAGAACUGAUAAUGUGAGAGAGCAAAUGACUGUGUUCCGUGAUCACACAGAGUCAGCACAAAGGCAGCGACUCUCAACCCAUCCUAGACCGUGCUGUAAAUAAAAGCAUCCAAACGUCCCUGAGAAGCCGUCGCUCUGAACCAGAUGCUUCUCUUCAUCAGCUGUCAAUUGAGUCCUUUAGCAGAAACCUGAAGACUGAACAACAGAGUUAAUUCACUGAGCCUCAGCGUGACAAAGUCCCUCUCCCUGCUCACCAUGAAAUCAAUAGACGAAUAGAUGCUACAUUAGAAAAUGGAGCAAAGUGUCGUCACUGUCAAGAUAUUAUUUGGUCAGUGUGAGAUACUUCCAUCCAUUCUCUGAUCUGAUUGCAGCCUCUAAAGAAUUCCUCUGCAGGAUUUUUCUUGUUGCUGCUGCCUCUGUGUCCACGUGUUUCUGUGCUGGAAGCAAAAAAAAAAAAAAAAAGGCAGCGAGAGGAGGUUGUCACAGCGAGCGCAAAAACAGAGCAGACGAGCCACUUAACAGCACUAUACCCAACUGGUGCAAGGGAGCGAGAGGAAAAUCCAGCCAUGCCAGCGUGCCAAUAUAGUUUACCAGCUCGCUGAGAGGCGGGCAGCACCUGACAGAUGCCACUUGGAGCAUAAUUCCAGUGGGCUGAAAAGAUCCUCUACAUGACGGGAAGCCAGAGAAGCGGGAGGAGACCGGAAUACCCAACAACUAAACGCAGUGUUAAUGUUGUCUGUGCAUCUAUUGCAUCCAUUCCUUCCUGUUUUACUGUGUUUAGAAGCUGAGGAAACAAAAUGCAAAGAAAAAACUGAUGCUGUUAAUAAAUGGUGACUUGUUUCAGAUCUCAAUAUGUUCAGAUUUACUGUGUUUCUUUGUCUUGUGUGAUAAUAAACGGAAUAUCUUGAUGUUUUGCAAGUGAUUUCAAUAUUUUGCCUUCAGCUCUGGGGG